CUACGGGGUGCAGCAGUGGGGAGUAUUGCACAAUGGGCGCAAGCCUGAUGCAGCCAUGCCGCGUGUAUGAAGAAGGCCUUCGGGUUGUAAAGUACUUUCAGCGGGGAGAAAGGGAGUAAAGUUAAUACCUUUGCUCAUUGACGUUACCCGCAGAAGAAGCACCGGCUAACUCCGUGCCAGCAGCCGCGGUAAUACGGAGGGUGCAAGCGUUAAUCGGAAUUACUGGGCGUAAAGCGCACGCAGGCGGUUUGUUAAGUCAGAUGUGAAAUCCCCGGGCUCAACCUGGGAACUGCAUCUGAUACUGGCAAGCUUGAGUCUCGUAGAGGGGGGUAGAAUUCCAGGUGUAGCGGUGAAAUGCGUAGAGAUCUGGAGGAAUACCGGUGGCGAAGGCGGCCCCCUGGACGAAGACUGACGCUCAGGUGCGAAAGCGUGGGGAGCAAACAGGAUUAGAUACCCCGGUAGUC
rnacentral:rRNA from 1 species